rnacentral:rRNA from 1 species
AACGAACGCUGGCGGCAGGCUUAACACAUGCAAGUCGAGCGCCCCGCAAGGGGAGCGGCAGACGGGUGAGUAACGCGUGGGAAUCUACCCAUCUCUACGGAAUAACGCAUGGAAACGUGUGCUAAUACCGUAUACGUCCUUCGGGAGAAAGAUUUAUCGGAGAUGGAUGAGCCCGCGUUGGAUUAGCUAGUUGGUGGGGUAAAGGCCUACCAAGGCGACGAUCCAUAGCUGGUCUGAGAGGAUGAUCAGCUACACUGGGACUGAGACACGGCCCAGACUCCUGAGGGAGGCAGCAGUGGGGAAUAGUGGACAAUGGGCGCAAGCCUGAUACAGCCAUGCCGCGUGAGUGAUGAAGGCCCUAGGGUUGUAAAGCUCUUUCACCGGUGAAGAUAAUGACGGUAACCGGAGAAGAAGCCCCGGCUAACUUCGUGCCAGCCGCCGCAGUAACAC